UCAGGUUCAACGUUAUCAUUUCAAAGGAACAUUUUCCGCUGUAAAGAGAUUUGAGGACUACUUUGACACUGUUUACUAGUCAGCUGAAGCUGCUCUGUUGGGGGCGCGGCCUCCCUUUGGACUCCCUGCUGCUUCAGUUUCAGCAGCAGCUGUCAGACUGUAACGGGAGGACGAAGCGCUCCAUCCAUCCACAGCGGCUGAGAUGGCGGACCCGGCCGAGUGCACCAUCAAGGUGGUGUGCCGUUUCAGGCCUCUAAACAGCGCGGAGGUGGCCCGGGGAGAUAAGUACAUACCUAAGUUUAAAGGGGAUGACUGUGUGCAGAUUGGGGGUAAACCGUACUACUUUGACCGCGUGUUCCAGUCCAAUACUACUCAGGAGCAGUUCUAUAACGCUGUAGCUCAGAAGAUUGUCAGAGAUGUUCUGGAGGGCUACAAUGGGACAAUAUUUGCCUAUGGACAGACAUCCUCUGGAAAAACACACACAAUGGAGGGGAACCUCCAUGACCCAGACAUGAUGGGAGUCAUUCCCAGAAUAGUCCAGGACAUCUUCAACUACAUUUAUUCCAUGGAUGAGAACCUGGAGUUUCAUAUCAAAGUUUCAUAUUUUGAAAUCUAUUUGGACAAAAUCAGGGACUUGCUGGAUGUAACAAAGACCAACCUUUCGGUACAUGAGGACAAAAACAGGGUGCCCUUUGUCAAGGGGUGUACCGAGCGUUUUGUGUGCAGUCCUAAAGAGGUCAUGGACACCAUAGAUGAAGGCAAAAACAACAGACACGUGGCUGUCACAAACAUGAAUGAGCAUAGUUCCAGGAGUCACAGCAUCUUCCUCAUCAACAUCAAGCAGGAAAACACUCAGACGGAACAGAAACUUACCGGCAAACUCUACCUCGUCGAUCUGGCUGGGAGUGAGAAAGUGGGUAAAACUGGAGCAGAGGGCACAGUGCUGGAUGAAGCCAAGAUGAUCAACAAGUCCCUGUCUUCACUGGGAAAUGUGAUUUCAGCUCUGGCAGAAGGCUCGAGCUAUGUACCAUACAGAGACAGUAAGAUGACCAGGAUUCUGCAGGACUCCCUAGGAGGGAACUGUCGAACCACCAUGGUCAUCUGCUGCUCACCAUCCGCCUUCAAUGACGCUGAGACCAGGACCACACUGCUGUUUGGGCAGAGGGCAAAGACCAUCAAGAACACGGUGAGUCUGAAUGUGGAACUGACAGCAGAACAGUGGAAGAGCAAGUGGGAGAAAGAGAAGGAGAAGAACAAGACGCUGAAAAACACUGUCACCUGGCUGGAGACUGAGCUAAACCGCUGGAGGAACGGAGAGAGUGUGCCAGCAGAGGAACAGUUUGAUAAAGAAAAGGCCAAAGCAGAGGUCCUGGCCCUGGACAGUGCACUCAACAACGACAAGACAGCACCCAUACCUGCCCUCAGCACCCUCCCUGGGGUCAAACUCACAGAUGCAGAGAAAGAAAAAUAUGAGGCAGAAAUGGCCAAGCUCUACAAAGAGCUGGAUGACAAGGAUGAGGAGAUCAACCAGCAGUCUCAGUUGGUGGAGAAAUUGAAUCAGCAGUUGUUGGACCAGGAGGAGCUCUUAGCCUCCUCCAGCCGUGAUCACGACACCCUGCAGACUGAACUAAACCGGCUGCUGGCAGAGAACGAAGCCUCCAAGGAGGAGGUGAAGGAGGUGCUGCAAGCCCUGGAGGAGCUGGCUGUCAACUAUGACCAGAAGAGUCAGGAAGUUGAGGACAAAUCAAAAGAGUUUGAGGCUCUCAGCGAGGAGCUGAACGAGAAAUCGAGCUCCUUGGCCUCCAUUGACUCUGAACUCCAGAAGCUGAAGGAGAUGACCAACCAUCAGAAGAAGAGGGUCACUGAGAUGACGUCAUCAUUACUCAAAGACCUGGCUGAGAUAGGCGUUGCCUUGGGAAGCAACGACAUUAAGCAACAAGAGAGCAGUGGUCUCAUAGAUGAGGAGUUCACUGUGGCUCGUCUCUACAUCAGUAAGAUGAAGUCAGAAGUGAAGACGAUGGUGAAGCGCAGCAAACAGCUGGAGAGCACCCACGCUGACAGCACCCAAAAGAUGGAGGAGAUGGAGAUAGAGCUGACUGCCUGCCAGCUCCGUAUCUCCCAGCAUGAAGCUAAAAUCAAGUCCCUGACAGACUCCCUCCAGAAUGUGGAGCAGAAGAAAAGACAGCUGGAAGAAAAUGUGGACUGUCUCAAUGAGGAAAUAGUCAGGAUCAAAGCCCAAGAGAAAGUCAACACCAUGGAGAAGGAGGAUGAGAUCCAGUCUGCAAAUGAAGUCAAGGAAGCUGUGGAAAAGCAGAUCCAGUCUCACAGAGAGGCCCAUCAGAAACAGAUCAGCAGCCUGAGAGAUGAGCUGGACAACAAGGAGAAACUCAUCACAGAGCUGCAGGAUCUGAACCAGAAGAUCAUGCUGGAGCAGGAGAGGCUAAGGGUGGAGCAUGAGAAGCUCAAGGCUGCGGACCAGGAGAAGAGCCGCCAGCUGCAAGAGCUGACGGUGCUGCAGGACAAGCGAGAGCAGGCCAGACAAGACCUGAAGGGACUGGAAGAGACGGUGGCCCGAGAGCUGCAGACACUCCACAACCUCAGGAGGCUUUUUGUCCAAGACUUAGCCACUAGAGUCAAAAAGAAUGCUCAGAUGGACUCAGAUGAUACAGAAGGCAGCGCUGCUCAGAAACAGAAGAUCUGCUUCCUGGAGAAUAACCUUGAGCAACUCACUAAAGUGCACAAGCAGCUGCUACGGGACAACGCUGACCUUCGCGGGGAGAUUCCUAAACUGGAGAAGCGCCUGCGGGCCACCGCUGAGCGGGUCAAACCCCUGGAGGCUGCUCUGAAGGAGGCCAAAGAGAAUGCAGCUCGCGAGCGAAAGCGCUACGAGCAGGAGGUGGAGCGCAUUAAGGACACCAUCAAGCCCAAAAACAUGGGCAGGAGACCCUCGGCACAGAUAGGCUAACUGCACCCUGGCCCUAGCUCCAAACUUAACACACAAAUCUGAGACUCCCUGUCAGUCAGAACUGAAGAAGCCUAUUGGAUAAGAGCCAAGCCCAUCAGACCAGGCCAGCUGCCGGGAGCCUCUCCCAUUAACCCCAGCGUCAACAGGUCCAACCUCAUCCAGAACAACGUCAGCUGCUGAGAAUGGAAGCACAGUCACCCAAAAAAGAAGCCAAAGCCCCAGACCCAAAGGAAUUUUAAUUCCAAAAUAACAAACUUUUACCUGGAACCACUGCCACAAAAACCACCACAAAAAAACAAAACACAUUACUGCCUUGCAAAAUCAACACAUAAUAAUGUUUUAACAGCAACUUACAAAUAUAUUAGCCAAAACUGUGCCAACAUGAAUGUACGUAUCACAACUUGACGGACCCCUGAACACUAGAAGGCACUACUGUCAUGCUUAUCUACUGGUAUUGCUAAGAAUGGCUAGAAUCGUUCAUCUUGGUUUUCCAAAUUAAAUCUGUUGUUGUCAGUAGUCACUAGUCUGUUGCAGGCCACAUUAUGGCCUUUGUUAUGGCUCUAAAAUAAAAAACAUGUAAUAGUACUUAUUUAA